CCCUUGUAUUGACAUCUUACAAAAUGACAGUGCAGUGAUUGAAAGCACUGAUGGAAUAUUCAUUUGAAUUUGACCAGUUCUUUCUGUUUCAGGAUCCAUCCCAGAAUCCCACACUGAACUUAUUCAUCCAGAAUCUUGGAUUCUGAACCGCAGAUUCAACCAACUACGGACAGUCAAAGUCAAGAAAUGGGAAGCUCUUCAGUUAUAUGCUCAAUGAAAACUUCAUGCCACUGGCACACAAGCUUUCCCUCCAAGUCGAGCUGAUCCUGGCACGGAACCUGGCUUCAUGAGACACAAAUGCCAGUUUUCUUUCCAGAGCUGAUGCCUUGAGGGUACCCGGAUUUUCACUGGAAGAGAGUACCAUAGCCCAAAAAAGCAAGGAGCCAUCAGGUUGCCAGAAAAUGCAUGGCACUCUGUGCCAGGCCCGAAGCCGCAGCCACCACAGGACGGACCUGGCUAUUUUCUGCCAAACAAUUUAUUAAGAAAGCAUGUCUUUGGACCUAGAUGCUGGGAAUGCAGAGACAGAAGAUCUUGUCACUGAUCUCAGGAAGCUCACAGGCAGACAAGCAGUGAUCUGAAUGUCCUACAGGUAGAUGUGUGUGUAGGGUGAGGGGGUGGCUAUGAUGGUAUCAAGGGUGGGGGGUAUUCUGCGUAAGGAUAAGGGAACUCAGAAAAGUUUCCAGGAAAUAUGAGGAUUAAGUUGUUGCU
rnacentral:lncRNA from 1 species